GUGGUGUUUUUCGCCAUAAUUUUCUCCGGCUUCUGUUUGUUGGCGGAAGAGAGGUCGUCGAUGGCGCAACUAAUGGAGUAAAGAGGCGAACCCCUUUCUCCUUCGACUCCGAGCGGUGGAUCUGGUGGAGCAUUCCACAGAAGCUCUAGAUCUGCCCGAUUUUUCCCGCCUCUCGCCGGCUUCUGUUUGGGCGGCGGCGGUUCAAGCGAAGACGCCCGCCGGAGUUUUGAGGAACGGCGAGGGCAGGAUGAGCGAUGGAUCUUUUCUUUCAUGGCAGAGGUUGGAGGUAGGCGAGAUUCUCUCAUUCUUUCAGCGUUUCUUCUUCUUCUUCUUUCAGCGGUGGAUUUGAUGCCGCUAGUUCCGGCGGCUAUGUCCGACGAAUUUUGAAGAAGGCAGCAAG
rnacentral:lncRNA from 1 species